AGGGAAGCAGGAGGCUGGUUUAAGGACUCGGAUAGGCAGUGCGCGGGGCUCAGAGGAGCUAAUGUUCCUGUAUUGAGGGGCUCUGGGGGAAUCUUUGAGGAGCCAGGGGACGUGGCCUUGCAGAGCCUAGCGGGUCAGUGGGCGGGGCUCUAAGAACCCCGCUCCGGGGUCUAAGGAGCAGUGGGCGUUGCUCGGAGGCGC
rnacentral:lncRNA from 1 species